CGGGACGGGUGAGUAAUGUCUGGGAAACGUGCCUGAUGAGGGGGGAUAACUACUGGAAACGGUAGCUAAUACCGCAUAACGUCGCAAGACCAAAGAGGGGGACCUUCGGGGCCUCUUGCCAUCGGAUGUGCCCAGAUGGGAUUAGCUAGUAGGUGGGGUAACGGCUCACCUAGGCGACGAUCCCUAGCUGGUCUGAGAGGAUGACCAGCCACACUGGAACUGAGACACGGUCCAG
rnacentral:rRNA from 1 species